GGGGUUGAGAGCUGGGAUGAUACUGCAGCAGUGCCCACAUGGCUUCCACUCCUCACUGGUCCACUGCUUGGAGCUGAAAGAAGAAGCUAAGUUAGAGAGAGCUGGCAUCUAAGAAAUGGCGCAUGUUGACUGGGAAGCAUUUCUUCUCCAUUUGUUGAUACUGAAAUUGCUAAAAUAGAAUUAAAUGUAGAAAUGAGCAAGGAUAGCAGAGUUGGUA
rnacentral:lncRNA from 1 species